AACGAACGCUGGCGGCAUGCCUAACACAUGCAAGUCGAACGAGAUCUUCGGGUCUAGUGGCGCACGGGUGCGUAACGCGUGGGAAUCUGCCCUUUGGUUCGGAAUAACAGUUGGAAACGACUGCUAAUACCGGAUGAUGACGAAAGUCCAAAGAUUUAUCGCCGGAGGAUGAGCCCGCGUAGGAUUAGCUAGUUGGUGUGGUAAAGGCGCACCAAGGCGACGAUCCUUAGCUGGUCUGAGAGGAUGAUCAGCCACACUGGGACUGAGACACGGCCCAGACUCCUACGGGAGGCAGCAGUGGGGAAUAGUGGACACUGGGCGAAGGCCUGCUCCAGCAAUGCCGCGUGAGUGAUGAAGGCCUUAGGGUUGUAAAGCGCUUUUACCCGUGAUGAUAAUGACAGUACCGGGAGAAUAAGCGCCGGCUAACUCCGUGCCAGCAGCCGCAGUAA
rnacentral:rRNA from 1 species